CCUACGGGCGGCUGCAGUGGGGAAUAUUGCACAAUGGGCGCAAGCCUGAUGCAGCCAUGCCGCGUGUGUGAAGAAGGCCUUCGGGUUGUAAAGCACUUUCAGCGGGGAGGAAGGCGUUAAGGUUAAUAACCUUGGCGAUUGACGUUACCCGCAGAAGAAGCACCGGCUAACUCCGUGCCAGCAGCCGCGGUAAUACGGAGGGUGCGAGCGUUAAUCGGAAUUACUGGGCGUAAAGCGCACGCAGGCGGUCUGUCAAGUCGGAUGUGAAAUCCCCGGGCUCAACCUGGGAACUGCAUUCGAAACUGGCAGGCUAGAGUCUUGUAGAGGGGGGUAGGAUUCCAGGUGUAGCGGUGAAAUGCGUAGAGAUCUGGAGGAAUACCGGUGGCGAAGGCGGCCCCCUGGACAAAGACUGACGCUCAGGUGCGAAAGCGUAGGGAGCAAACAGGAUUAGAUACCCGUGUAGUC
rnacentral:rRNA from 1 species